CUGAUACGAACUGGUAACAUAUGUUUGUAGGAGUGAGGUCUGGUCAGUCGCGAGGAUUAGUAUAUUAGUUUUGUCAUUAUGAGGAAACGGUAAAAGCCCACGAAAUUGUUCUUAAGUGCUAAAGGCCUGGAACAGAAAAAAACCUCUAAACAUAUAGAACAAAAAAUACUUUUUCGUUCGGUCCUUGUCAACAACAGAAUGUAAAUAAAUAAAAUUAAAAAUAAUAAAAUAAAAAAAAACAAUAACAAUAAAUAGAGGAGGGUUUUUGACAUGGAAUCAAACCCUGGGGCCGCUGGGGCGUAUAGCCAGUACCAAUUUUAAACCUUUUAUCUCCUGAUGAUGGACACCACUGUGUCCAAAACAUGUAAGGAAUUUUAAAUAACUAAAUGUUUAAUAAAUAAGUGGAGUGAGA